UUUCUUUCCCUUAAUUUUUCAUUCAAGCAUUGUUUUGACAUUUUCUUAUGGUUCAAUUGUUUAUUAUAAUUAUAACUCUUGAUAAAGAUUUUUGCUUUUGAGUCAGUGAAUUAUAUAGUAAAAGCUGUGAUUGGAUUCUAUUGGUUUUAUAUUAUAACAUUCAUCUCAAUUGCAUUGUUGUUAAUUUUUUGUGUCGAUUUAUGAUAUCGUAAAGGCUUGAUUACUUUUCCGGAAAAACCAAAGCUAUGUGUAUUUCUGAUAUAUUCUUGACAAAGAAGAUAUGGAGUAGAUGAAUAUUUUAUAGAAGUAUGUUUAACUUGAUCAGAUUAAUGUGCUUGAUGUAUAAUUAUUUCGUAUUUAAUAUAGUAAUUUGUUUUAUCAAGAGGAAACACUCGAAUAAACAUAGGAAAGCUUAAAGGUGUUUAAUCAGGAAGGAAAAAAACCAGUAGAAAGAUUGAGUUGGUGGAAAGAAUUUGGAGAAAGGCAUUUGAUGAGUCAAUUCAGUGCCUCCUCCAGUGGCAAAACAAGUGUGAACUUGAACUUCAAACACGAGGAAUGACGGGGAAGGCUAUUUGCACCCUUCUAGUAAUUUUCAGCGAGCUGUGAUUUAGAUGCUCCGACGACCAUCAACUUUUCCGGCGACGGAAAAGAAGUGUAGAGAUUUUCAUGGACGAAUCCGUCCCGUAUCCCGUGUCGUGUCGUGUCAACACGGGUACGGUCGCAGGAGUAGGCGAGUCGGAGUAACACAGUGUAUAUCAAUCUUCAAUAUCAUAGGUGGAUUACUUUCACAAACAAUGAAGAAAAUGCUUCAAAUUUACAAUACCUCUCGAGUCAUCAGACUAAUUUGUCCUGUAGGGGCUUCGACUGAAUUGGGGCUUCUCUAGAACUAGAGCUUCAACAGCUUUUAACUUUAAGUGGGGUUUCGGUUUGCUUGGAUUUAAGUUCUAUAGACAUUCAAGCCGGGGAUCGGAACUCGGAAGCAUUUUCAGACCCAUUGGUCAAAAGGGGAACCAGUGAUUGUUACUAUUGUGCUUGACAGUACAUAUGGUCUAAGCUGGGAACCAAUGGUGAUGUCUCUAGCAAUCCAUGAUAAGUCCCACACUGAUGUGAUUUGUCUUAAAUUGUUUGAGCUGGUGCGAGGAGGAAUAUAGUGUAUGUUCGUUCUUUAAAGGCUAUACAGAGGGUAUACACUUGUCUGCCUGGCCCCAAAUGCUCAAGUUAAAUGACUGGCCUCAAUCUGGUUCGUUUGAUGAUCAUCUCACGUCAUAAUGUGGAGUUCUUAAGUGCUUUGCCGUUCAAGGAGUACACACAUCCACAGAGCGCCUACUUGAACCUUGCUGUCAAGUUACCCGAGGGCAAUCUGAAGCCAGACACAGGGCCAAAGCUGUAUACGCUUAGAUAAUGCACAAACACGCCUAACCAAUAAGCAUCAGAACAUAAAUAGUCUUGGCUAAAAGGUUGAUAGUACAACACGUAACAGAAAAUCUGUAGAUGUCUGUAAAUAGUUAGUUAAAGCCCUGAACAUGCCUCUUGGCAAUAGCUACAAGUGUAGUUUGAUUUUUAACUUAAAAUAGAAUAAGAAAAUAGCUUUUGGUUUCUAUUUUUGCACAUUUUCGGAGCUCUGAGAUUCAUACAUAAUAGUUUUCCUCGAGUUGUUUAACCAUAUGGUUAUAUUGAAUAGGGUUCCUAUCUGUUUUACCUUUUGCAUCCGGUUUUGAUGAGAUUGUACAAUUAUAUACUUGCUUAUAUCAGGCAAGUCAUGGGCUACCAGACUAUGUACUUUUUGUAAUUUGAAUCUUAUUUCUGUAACUUUGGCUUCAUUUUAACUUAUUGCCUCUAUUUCUUGGUUUGUGUGGAUGCAAUAUCUCUUACCUAAUUUCCUGUCCAGUAAAAUGCUGGAGACUAUUAUCCUUAGAAACUGUAACAAAUCUCCUGAUGCAUGCAUCAGCCUGUCAAUCCUUGUAACUAUUUUUGCCUUUUGAAUCCAAAUUCUGACCUGCUUGUUGGUUAUGAAAUGAUAUUGUAAAAUUAUUGUUAAUUUAACUGCCAGAGUAACCUGCCCAAGUUAGUCAUAAGCUAAAACAACUUGUGCCAGUGUGUCGUAUGAAUUCAACUGGCUUGGAUUAUGAUUUUACCAUCUGAACGCUUUUGAUCAAAAAGUGCCUGGCAUUGUAGGAAUAUUUUCUUUACAUAAAUUUUACACCGAGGGAAAUGAGCUGCCUCAUCUGGUUUAUGUUUCUCGUGAGAAGAGGCCUGGAUUCGAACACCACAAAAAAGCUGCUGCUAUGAAUUCUCUUAAAUUUUGGUAAGCUCAGCACCAACCCGCUCUAACCUUCCCUAUGACUGCAACCCCAUGAGGUAUGUUCAAUUUUUGUUGAAGUUAAUAUAAAUAUGAGUGCACCUAUUCAAUAAUGAUUUUGAAGCUCUGAAGAGACUUGGCAAGCCUAGAAAUGGCUAUUUUCUAACUAAAAGCUUUGAUUUACACUAGUUCGUAUAACUUGUGUCUGUGUAGACUCAAAUGAUUCAAAAAAGUGUUACAUCUAAUAUUGCCUAGACAAUAUAUACCCUGCCUAGCAAAUGUUAAGAAUGUACUUCUUUGCCGAUAUAAAUCAACCUUCAUACCUGAUAUCGGCUUGAUCAGGUUGUGAAAAUAAUCUGAUUGACUUCUUUGUCUUGCUUUUUCUCUCUCUUGCCAAAAGAUCCAUGUUUAACUUUAAAAAGAACAUUUACUGAAUGAAACUUUCUUUAAUUUUUAAGUAGACACUUGGUUUUAUUAUAGUUUCUAUAGCACAUAAAAUUUACCUAGCACUUUUUGGAAUUUCAUAAAUCCCUUAAAUAUUAAAUCCUGUUGCCAAAAACCAGCUUUUUUUACACCCCUACCCCAAUAGUUGCACCUUAAUUACAAAAAAUGCCAUCAACCUUUACCAUUUUCACACAACGUUUCUGAUAAAACAAAAAACCCUUAUAAUAAACGAAAGCUUUUGUACCUCAUAUAAGCUUUUGUCCGGGACUCAUACAUACAGAUCUAUAUAUGUUCACAUCAUAUUGCCAUAUCUUUCUUCUCUAUUUCAGAAACAAACGAAAGUGCAGCGGCAGUACUGUCUGCUCUACUUCCCCAUUUGAUUUGUUGUGAUUUCAAAUUCAAAAUUCAAAUUUAUAUCCUCUGAUUAGAUUCAAGCUCAUUUAAAUCUCAUUUCAAGCUCUCUAACCUCGCCUCUCCUGCUCCAAGCGAUUUUACCAAUAUCCAUGAAGUGUUUGAUAAAAUGUGAAGAUUUGGGGGACUUUCUGUCUUCAUGUUUGGUGUGAGUGGAAUUGUGGAGGAAGGAAAAGACGAGGAGGGAACGGAAGGCAAAAAGAUGAGGUAUUUAAUUUGCAGAAAAUGGGGUAUUUGAGACUUGCAAGCUGCGGAUUACUGUCAAAUAUGAUACUGUAUUUUUAUAAUGGAUUACAGGAUGAGCUUGACAAAAGGCCUUGGGUUCAUCAUUGCUUCAAGUGUCUGUCAUUGCAUAAUUACUGUGUAGUUAUUUCUUGUAUGUUACUGUGUAGUUAUUUCUUGUAUGUUGUUUGUAUGUUGUUGUUUGUAGUUAUUUUGCUAAUGGAGUCCCACUAAUAAGAUCAAAACUUAAUUUUUCUUUGAAA